GCAGCCACUCAGGAGACAAUAGGACAGCUCCAUUUCUGAUCUCUCUGAGCCUUGGCUGUCCUGGGACUUACUCUAUAGACCAAGAUGACCUUGAACUCAGACAUCCUCCUGCUUCAGGCUCCUGAGUGCUGGGGUUACAGUAUUCCCAAAACACAGCAUGACAACCAUCUCUCCAUCAUCUACACUGUACUUGCUAUCACAAGUCACCUGGAGAAGAGCUGAAGUCCCCUGAAGGAUGUGGGAGGUUCUAUGAUAAUGCUACAGAGCCUCACGUAAGGACUGGACUAUCAUGGGUUUUAGAAUCAACACUCCACAGUGACCAAUGGGUAACUACACUGUCUCUUGCCACCAAAGGACCUGAUUGGUAUGGACUCCCUGAACAGUUCACUAGCUGCCAUUGUAUUAGCGUCCUUCAAUCUGAAAUAGCACCUCCUUUCUCUGAGUCUCACAGCCUUCACUCCUGUGAGUUUGUAGCCUCUCCUCAGAGGGCUG
ensembl:antisense Gm15700 predicted gene 15700